AGAUGACAUGUUUCAUGAUUUGGCGCUAUAUAAAUAAAACUGAAUUGAAUUGAAUUCUGUUCGGAAACAGAGACAAAAGUGCUAUUAGUAUUCUUAUCAAACUCCCAUUGAUGUGUCAUUUAUUAAAAACGUCCUUCAAAUACUUUCACAUCCAAGAUAUUCUUGUGCACAAUUAUUUAGCUCUUAGCUUAAAAUUCUGCACUGUAAUUAUUACUUCCUGCAUGACUUAUAUUAAAGGAGAAAUCUUAAAGUUCAAAUCUGCAGCAGUUUCUAUCCGUAAUUCUUAACCAAAUUCCUCUAAUGUGUGUCUCACCUUUCAAUGUCUGACAGUUGAAAGUUCUCUGCAACAUCAUUUUAUCAUCUUAUUCAUUUCAUGGCUACUGUGUCAAGGUUCAUCUCACCUCAUUUAAUGCACAGUCUCAACAAAGAAUUGUUGAUAGGGUUAUGAUAAAUAACCCCUUAUUAUCCUACAAAGAAAACCACACAAACACAAGUUUAGACUGUUCUGCAGAAGAGGGCCGAUCAGCCAAAUGGAGAACCACGCUCCCUGACAGUCUGGCUCAUCUGCCCCGAGCCACCUCUUUCUCUCUGCCUUUAUUAUCAACUUCGAAGAAGGGACAGGGGGGUUCGGGAAUUUAUAACAUGGCAGUCGGCACACAAAGAGGUGUAGGAUUGACAUACACAGCUGGAUAAGGCAAGACAUUUUUUAUCUGGGAGAAGCAUUUGUUCUUCCUGUGUGAAGUUAAAACAAUAGAACUUUCCUGCAAGCCAGCUCUUGGAACAGACUAAAUGCAUGUAACUUAAUGAAAAUAAAAUUAUUGCAUUCGCACUAACAAUUGUAUUAAAACCUUUCGGAAACUUCUUGCUGCACCAGCUCUAAAAUACUUCACGUUUCUGAAAACCCCGAACAGUAAGCCCUUAAGUUUGUAAAAGAAUACUCCACUCUGUAUUUACAGAAUUCCAUUGUGAUUUUAAUCAGAAGCAUUCCUACAUAUCUUCUGUCUUAUUUUGAAAAGCUCAGCUGAGAAAAAGGAAGUGUGUACCUGCCCCAGAGCACACCAAGUCGUAAUUGGUUGAUAUUCAGGAAGUAGGUGUAGCCUAGGGAGGAGACAGGAAGUAGUUAUGUGAAUCAGUUUCAGCUUAAUGUGCAUCAAACCAGACUUCUACUGAACACUCCUUUUGCCUAGAGCGAAGAGCAAUUCUAACACCGUUAAUUGCCUAUUUUAAUCAUUUCUGUUGGUUUUAACAGAGCGUUUAUCUACUUGACCCUGGUUGUAUUCUAUAUCCCCGUUUGGCUGUUUGAAACAAACCUCUAAACUGUAAGAUCAUCUUGUGAACAGUAAACCAUUGUUUCUCUUUAAAAACAUCUCCCCCUGUUCAUUUAACUGCCCCAUACAGCUCUAGAUAAAACAAAUUUGAGACUUUAAACUUGUUUCAUUCAUCUAACAUUUGUUUCAUUGAUAAUACACACAAUUCCAAUUUUAAACCGGUUAUGAAGCGUCCGUCAGUUUAGCUUAACCUUACGUAUAUAUUCGGCAAAAUAUGAACAAAUAAAUAUACCACCAAAUUUUUUUUAAUUUUCACAUUUAAGAGAAAAUCGGAAAAGAUUCUGAUCACUUUUCAAGUGUCCUCCAACCCAGAAGUCGUGACGUCAGAACAUGAACGUUCAUCUCAACAUGGCGGAUUACAGCACUACAUGCGAUAGCCAAAACGAGAAAUCUGAAAGCGAAAUUUCGACUUCAACCGAGCGAUUCCUACCAGGUGACCAUUCUGAUGUAUCGGAGGAAGAAUAAUUGUGUCUGGAGCCUCACAUGUUCGACCCUAAAGUUUAAGAUGAAGAGAAGGCAGUGGACGGACAGCCUACCAAAUCGGUCAAGGAGUGGAGAUUGCACGUCGGGAGAUUAGAUGAAUGGUGUUCCUGUUCUCACUGCCAAUAAUGGAUUAUGCGGGAGAGUGCAUCUGUUGCCAGGAAAUGGGCUUGGUUGUUGCUAAGAUUGAAGAAGCCAGAGAGGAGAUGGAUGGAGAAAUCCCUGGCUGUAUCACAGACCAUCCUGGCAUGGAAGCGGUGUGUCUAAAUGCUUGGACAUUGCAGGUUGCUUGGUCCCAAUACAAGCAACUGCAUAAGCAUAUAGCCUAUAGACAAUUUGUGAGAUGGUGUUGGGACUAUUUAGGCAAAGAUACCAGGGUUGUGAUACCCUCGUGAGCUGUAUAAGGGCCCACUUCCCACCCCCAGGACAAGAAGAUGACUUUACCUUUAGAGGUCACCUGUUAGUAGUUAAUAAAAAAUUCCCAAGCUGAAAGAAUAAAAUUUAAAACAUGCAUGUAAACAAAAUUGUUGUGGUUAUUAUGUAAUAUAAGCAAAUACUAAUAAAAUGAUUUCAUGGUCUUUUCUAAAAUCGACUGAAUGAGAGAUUGAUGGCAUCUUCCUUUGUUGGUCUCACAAAUGAACUUGUCAGUGAUGGGGGCUCUUAUGCUGCAUCAAGUUGCUUAGUUUUUAUUUUCUCCAGCUCUGCUAGCAG